rnacentral:tRNA from 1 species
GAGGUUGUAGCUCAAGCAGUAGAGUGCAUGCUUAGCAUGCAUGAGGUCCUGGGUUCAAUCCCCAGCACUUCCU